GACAGAGGGUGCAAGCGUUGUUCGGAAUUAUUGGGCGUAAAGCGCGUGUAGGCUGCCCUGUGUGUCAGAUGUGAAAUCCCCGGGCUCAACCCGGGACGCGCAUUUGAAACUGCAGGGCUAGAGUAUGGGAGAGGAAAGCGGAAUUCCCGGUGUAGAAGUGAAAUUCGUAGAUAUCGGGAGGAACACCAGUGGCGAAGGCGGCUUUCUGGACCAUAACUGACGCUGAGACGCGAAAGCGUGGGUAG
rnacentral:rRNA from 1 species